UUAAAAAAAAAAAAAAAUUGAAUAAACGAAAAUAAGCUAACAUAUUAUCCAGUCUCAUGUUGAUAGGUGUAUUUAAAAACUUGAUCUUUCAAAGGUACACUUAUUAUAGAUGAAAACGUCUUUCUAGCUGUGAUUAAUUGUAAUUGUAAUUAAUUCAUUAUGAGUUACCAUGGACAAAAUGUGAUUAAUUGUGAUUGAAUGUUUUAAUUGAUUGACAGCCCUAGUUAACAAGUAUUUGAAUCAUACAAAAAAUACAUUUACAAUAGAUCAAACACAUGGACACAUAUUCACAUUAAUUUUAUGUUGUCAUUAUUAUUUUGUAAUUUUUCAUGACGAGCCUCACCUGCCUUCCCUGACUGCACAUCACUGUGUAGAUAUUUUGACCAAUAUCCUUUUGUCGCACUUAAGUGGCCUACAGCGGGAUAGUCAUUGUUGAAUGGGAGCUUAGAACACAGAUCUUCGUGUUGUCUUGACUUAGCAGUUACCCCUAUGAUUCCUAGCAAACCAAAAGAAAAUACAUUUUAUCCGUCUUUUUAAGAAGCAAUAAGGAGACUCACCCAUUGUGUCUGACUAUCUUUCUCAGUCAGCUGAACCUCUCAACCGUUCCACAGCGCCGGAGAAUUGAAGCCGUAUCUGCCCGUGUCUUCUUCCUACUUGUCAAACAUUAACACUCAGCAACAUUUCCUGAAGCUUGUCAAUGCAAGUCAACACGGCAAGAAGGAAAGUGGGUGGGUCACAGAGAGAGGGAAGGAAGGAGCGAGGUUAAGGGCAGAGACAAACAGGUAAGGCAGGUUUAUAAUAGUACAGGUAAGUAGCCCCAUUAAUGUUUACCUUGCUCAUGUAGACGAUGCAUUGUUAUAAACAUAUAGAGGAAUUUAGCAAGGAAAAUAAGAUAAAAUGUUUCUUAAUGAAUGUUCAUAAUGCAAACAUGAUCAAAGCUUCAGUCAUGCUUUGGGGGAGUUACUAUGCAUGCUAUUCUGUAAAACUUCUCAAAGCAAAGCAGCCAGCAAGAAAGAAGAACUGGCGGCUAACGCGAGACAGAAUUACCUAAUUGUCACAUGUCACAUGACAACAGUGGCGAAAAAACAUCAUGAUGAUAUCAUGGAGGAAGGGUUUACAUGCAUGAAAGGCGACGGCACUGACAUCACCCAUUGUUUCGUAGAUUAGAGUUUUGAGGGCCCAAGUGUUGUAUUUAAUUCCAAGUAUAACAGGUCAGUUUCGGUUGCCAUGUUGCAGUUUGGGUAAGGGAUGGGAAACUCAAUAUCCUUGAUCAGUUCCGGGGAACAUGUUUUAUUUGUAAAAUACUGUUAGUGUUUGGGAUGAGAGGAUUUCUCUCUGAAUGUUCUGAAUUCCUGUUUCCAUACCAGUGUUACACAGAAUAAUAAUUCUGCUAGGACAUCUUGUAGUUCCUCUUGGGACUUUGUGUCAACAGUGGCUUUGCUGGUUGUUGCCAAGUAGUGCACCCCAUUUUGUAGGAGUGUCUUGAUACAACUUUUUCACAUCCAGUACAAAACCAAUAUUGCAGGCGAUACCGAUAUCAAUCCGAUUCAUUAUCAGCACAAAUCAUACAUACUUUUAUUACCUGUUUUGUAGUUCGGAAUGUUAGAAAAGGCUUGAUCAAGUGCUGACACAGAGUAUGGAAUGGACUGCUUGUAUCAAUCAGAGAUUUUAGAUGCAGGGAGAUACUGUAUAAUCCUGUACUAAUUUUUUGCUGAAACACCCCUAAUAUCAAUACCAUUUUGCUUAAAUGGCUUCAUGACUGAUAUACAAUCAACCAAUCACAUGAUUUACAGAAUUCGUAUCAAUUAUGUUUAAAUGCAAGCAUGUCAAAAGGUGGUAUGGUAUGGCUCUUCCUAACAUUUGACAGUGGAAAUGCAAAAAUAUUGUGUACCAUACCAAUUGUUCAAUUGGUCUGAGCUGGUCAACCAAGCAGGCAGACCAUUUAUCUGCUGUGUAUUUCAAAGGUUAAUGUUAUUGUACGAAACACUCAUGUUUAAUCACCAUUCACUGUUGUUCGUUAAAUAAUAGCUUGCUCUCGUUUUCAUCGGAGCAGCAUAAUGCUUUGCCUGACCUGUUGUGACCAAAGAAGACAAACUCAAUCCAACUCUGUUGUGAUCAUUUAAUUAAUUAGCAUGUCCUCCAACAACACAAGAAACACACGUGAAGAAAGGGUAAUAUUCCCUACUGGCUAACACACAGGUGGUGGAACAAUUGGCAGUGAAAAAGCCAUGUAUCUCCACAAUAGAUAGGGACAAAAACAAAGCACACCUGGUGAACGCAAAUACUACUUUAAAUGACAUUGUUUCAUAACUCCAGCACGAUCACAGCACAUCACUUUAUGUCAGUAUUACUGCAUCACUGAUUUUUUUCUUAUAAAUAUCUUUGACCAUAUUUAAUGUAUGCAUGCCAAGUCUGCUGGUGUACUCGGGUGACAUAAACAAGAUGUAAACAAUGAUGUUAAGACGCUUUUGCAGCUGUACUUAGUUUUUCUCAAAGUAUAUAAAGUCCUGAUGUUUUGCAGUAUUAAUUUACCUCAUCCUCCACCUGUAGACAACGUUGACACAUUAGCACACAAUGACCAAAUCUAAGUUCUCUUAAUGCAACACAAGAAUUUCCGUCAACAAAUGAAGUGAUGCAUAUAUUUAAAGUGUUUUCCUACAGCUAGCUAGCUAAAGCUGUGAAGAAGAUAAAUCCAAAAGUAAAAUGUGACAUUGUGAGUAGCAUAAUAAAAGUUCAGAUCGUUUGCUUUGUGCUAUACUAUUAUAAAUCUGAUAAAUUACCCAUCGAAAGACUAACAUUUUGACCCUUACAGUUUGGUCCCCCGUCACAUCAGCGUCUGUUUUGUACGAUCAUAAUAAGGACAGCGUGCUGAUUGCGCUUGAAUCCAAAUGCGAUAAAAUCAGAACAAAAACUAGUUUGUAAGAUUUACUUUAAGGCACAGAUGUGAUUGGCACUUCAAAAAAAGUCCACCAAUUACUUACGUAGUACGGCCUAAAAGUACAGCAUGAGUAUACAAAGCAUGUGAAACAGUAAUCCACUCAGAAGAAGACAGUUUAACAUUCUUAAGAUGUCAAUGUUGACCCUCAAGUAUUUCCAUCAUUAUGGUCCCGAUCCAUCCCAUCUUCCCGUUCUCCACUUUUCUCUUCUCCGUUGACCUGGUUGAACUUAUCGUGGGCCCAUUUGGCACAUUGGACAUUUGGGCCGACGUUUGCUUUGCGUAUGAUAAAUCUCGCUCGUCCACGGGUGAAGCUGCCGCGUCCUUGCCCUCGGUUGUCAAUCCACUUGGAGUCUGCCUCACUGUCUCUGUCAUCAUGCUGUGACAAAAAUAAAGGUAGUUAUAUUUAUUGGCUUAAACGAUUGAAAUUAAAGUGGGAAGAAAUGUGGUCCUACCAAGUAGUAUGUUCUGCUUUUGGGGGGGUAAUCUGGAUCCCAGUCUUCAUGUUUGGGGUGUACGACCACGUCUUGAUUGCAGUGUGAACUGUUUUCCUGGUGAUUCCCCCUCUUCCAGCCCCUUCCACGAAAUCGUACUUGCUAUAAUUCAACAAAUAGAAAUGUGGCCGCCUGUAGCUCAGAUUUAUGGUAUUUCACAGAGAAACACUUACAAAUCCUCUCCAGGGUGCUUCUUUCUCAGCAGGUCCAAGUGACUCGUUUGGACCGAGCCGAACCCUAUUAAAGCUUUCAUCUUUGAGCUCCGACUUCGGGAAUUCAUCCAUUUGGGACUUGGAGGACGACGAAGAUGAAGAUGACCUGGAUCGAGAGCCCUUGCUCUCACUUAUCCUACACGGGAGAAAUGGGCGGCCCGGCGCUUUUCAGCCAUGAUGCGCUGUUCCUCCAGCUUCCUGCGCCGCUCCUCCAGCUGCUGCUCCCUCAGCUGCCGUGCCUUCUCCUCCUUCUCCAGCCACACGCUCUUCUUAGCCGCUAAGACCACAGAGAGGGAAAGCGAGGUGAGAUGCGUGUGCGCCGCUAUAUCCUCAUUGAAGUACGGUAACUUCCGUUUUCCACUUCAUGCAGACGUGAAAUCUGUUUUGAAGUACUGGCGGGUUUUCCUGACAGAUCCGGUGUAAGACCAUUCAAAGUUAAACCUCUCUCAUGUUCACCGCACAUCUAAAACUCUUUGUGUUGGCAAAACAGAUCAAAUUAUUUCCGAGUUAAUCGCACUGAGCUUUGACGUCAGUUUCAAUAAAACUACUCUGGCUUUGAUGUGGAAAUCACCUCCUGCGCCCUGAGCCAUUCAAAGGCAACUCUCAGUGUUUCUUUGCAACAACAAAGUCCCAAGAGAGAAAGCACUUGAUGCAAGCAAAGCAACUGGUCUUGAAUAGCCAACAGGUGUCCAAUGUUUCUUUUAAAAAUGAUGCUUUUCAGUGUCUUUCUUGACAAACAUGAUCGGAUUUUACCGAAGCGAAGUCAUGAAAUAACAUUACAAAAGUGUCCAACAUGACGUAUUGAUGCCAUAGCCUGCACAGAAAGCCAGACAUCCUCUAGUUAAGUACUUUCUACGCUCGUUUAGUGAGUCUCGAUGUGAAACAUGUUGACUGGGUAAGAUAAGUCUUCUUAGAUCUGCCUUUAAGCUGAUAUCGUAAACGCAAGCUUCUUUUAUCCAAGUCUUGACUGAGGGUAUUAGAUGGGUCCCAUCUGGCGCGCCCAGAUCUGGUGCGCCCGCUCAUCCCCCAAUUAGAUUGAUCCGCGCCGUGUUUUCUCCACAACAACACAACUGGAUUCGACGACAAAGCACAGAAUCCUUAGGGUGCACUCACACUGCUCUGCGCUCCUUUGUAUUUCUGCAACUAUUCUGAUGUUGUUGCAUCAAUUUUCCAUCCAUCAAUUUUCUAUUAUGCAAGUUGGGAUCACUAAUAAUAUCACUAAUAAUGAUAAUGGGAGGAACAAUCACAUUGAUGAUACCACCUGUCCAGGUUUGUCACCCACACGUGCUGCUGCAUGAGCAUCAGCAAUCAUCCCAUGCAUCCAAAGAUUGUCUAUUGUGAGUGCACCCUGACAUACAUCUAGAGGUUGUUAUGAUGUUUUGGUGUCACUACAUGCCUUCUACUCCUGUAAACUCACGUUUAUGGAGGUUUUAUGUCAUUUAGGACCUUCAUGUUAUUUUUAACUCCGGAUCAUAACGGAAGUUAUAAAUCCGACGGCGACCCAUUUUGGGCUUUCCCAUAAAAGCCUACGCUUUAAUUGAAGUAGUUAUUUUUGUAUUUUCAUCUCACGGAAAUUAAUGUCGCAGUCUCGAGGCUCAAGUUCACUGAAAAAAAAUCUUUUAAAAUGUUGGGUUUUUUUAAACACAUAGUUUGCACUUUAAUGGUGGCUGAGUGAUGGGUCUAUGGAAGAUGUAUCUAUGGUGUUCAGAAUGAAGGAAGAUUACAUUUAAAUGUGAAUGAAAGAGUUAAAGAGCUGGGCAAUAUCACCACAACUUAAAGAAAUACUACUCCAAUAGCCAUCUGGUGCUUGCAUUGUCAGGGAAAUAUUGUUCUAUUGUUAUUGUUAUAUAAAAUGUUUUGUGUCCAAUAUUCCAUUUGAUAUGACAAAUAUCAAUACAAUAUAUCACAUAAUAAGUUAUAAUUAUGAGCUAACAAUCAUAUGAAUUUUUGCUAAGAUUCACAAUAAUGUCAUUAAUGUCUCAUUAAUGACUUGCUAUGAGUAUCUGCUCUAAGUUAGAUGCCACUUGUCUCCAAAACAAGUCCUCCACAUGCUUAUCACCUGAUUCCAAUAGACUUUAGGCAUUUUGGGCAUUUAGCAGAUAGCUUUAGCCUCUCAUUUUAGAUUCCCCCUUGCCUCACAUAUGCACAUCCUUUAUAGUAACAUCGCAUUUUGUAGAAGUUAGACAUCUUCUCUUGAAGCCGUCUGUUGAGGUUGUAUUGCUUUGUCUCCUUCCAUGCAAAUUUGAUUUAUCUGUACUUCUCAUUAUUCUCAAAGAACUUGUCUUGUCUAUCUUGGGAGUUAGAAGCUGAUUUUCCCUUGACAACAUGUUAAAUUUAGGGAUAUUUGUACAAGUCUUCAUGAAAAUAUUGACUAUGAUUCUGAUCCAUUUUCAUGUCUUUGGAUUCUUGAGCUCCUUCUUCAUUGUUGAUGUAUUGCCCAGCAACUGAACUGUGUUACAUGGAUCCAAAUGAACAGGAAUGACCACUCAAAGGCUUCGGACCACCCCCACCAUCACCACGUACCCAUUAAUACAAGGACCCCUGUUUCCACUUACCCAGAUAUUUGGCUUUCUCCUCUCUGCGCUCCUUGGCCAGCUGCUGCCUCUCGUCUGACUUCAUGAUGUCUGCCAUGACAAGCACAGGACAACUGUGUUAAUGAAGUACUGUUGUACCAGGAUGCUACGUACUAUCGUAAUAGACAGAUAACACGCACCAUGACUCAUCAGCAUAGAAAGUGUGGCUGCAUUCUUGCCAAUGCUGCCAAGAAAGGCUUUUCUAUCUUUACUCCAAGAGGAAUGCAUGUCUCAUCACAGGGACAGGAGUCUGUCAGCAUCAAUGAUAAAUAUUAAAAGAUGUUUCCGCGCACCAUAAAUGCUCCAAUUAAUGCCUCUAUUCAAUUAACCACCCUGUCUCGAUAUCAGCAGGUGCGUGAUCUCCAAAAGCAAUUAGCAGCUGUGGCUGUAGGCAACCUCCUCACAUCGUUUUUAGUAACUUCAAAAGAUGGCAGUAACUACAUUUGAAGUACCGUGAGUAAUCGCUGGAUGACGAGGGCUCACUCUGUGCCUCUGUCUCAACACAUGGGCGCCUUGGUUCUAUAGCAGAAUGGAGCAUAGUACAGAAGACAGAACACUCGGGAAGCGCAGCUUCUACGCCUCGUCAGCGCUGAGUGCACAGUGCUUGGGAGGAAGAAAGGAGACAGAUACUGAGUUGUACAUCGUUCUGUGUGUGUGUGUGUGUGUGUGUGUGUGUGUGUGUGUGUGUGUGUGUGUGUGUGUGUGUUCUAUGAACAAAUGAACCACCCACAGACACAUAAUAAAGAUGAUUAGAGGAUU